rnacentral:rRNA from 1 species
GACGAACGCUGGCGGCGUGCUUAACACAUGCAAGUCGAACGUUGAAGCGCCUUCCUUUUUGGUGGGUGUGGAUGAGUGGCGAACGGGUGAGUAACACGUGAGUAACCUGCCCCCUUCUUCUGGAUAACCGCAUGAAAGUGUGGCUAAUACGGGAUAUUCUGGGUCUGUCGCAUGAUGGGUCUGGGAAAGAUAUUGUUUCGGUGGGGGAUGGGCUCGCGGCCUAUCAGCUUGUUGGUGGGGUGAUGGCCUACCAAGGCGGUGACGGGUAGCCGGCCUGAGAGGGUGGACGGUCACACUGGGACUGAGACACGGCCCAGACUCCUACGGGAGGCAGCAGUGGGGAAUAUUGCACAAUGGGCGCAAGCCUGAUGCAGCGACGCCGCGUGAGGGAUGGAGGCCUUCGGGUUGUGAACCUCUUUCGCCAGUGAAGCAGGCCUGCCUCGUUUGUGGGUGGGUUGACGGUAGCUGGAUAAGAAGCGCCGGCUAACUACGUG